UACAGAGGGGGCAAGCGUUGUUCGGAAUUACUGGGCGUAAAGGGCGCGUAGGCGGCCUUCUAAGUCGAACGUGAAAUCCCCGGGCUCAACCCGGGAACUGCGUCCGAUACUGGAAGGCUUGAAUCCGGGAGAGGGAUGCGGAAUUCCAGGUGUAGCGGUGAAAUGCGUAGAUAUCAGGAGGAACACCGGUGGUGUAGACGGCUUUCUGGACCGACACUGACGCUGAGGCACGAAAGCUAGGGGAGCAAACAGG
rnacentral:rRNA from 1 species